ACUCAAAGGAAUUGACGGGGACCCGCACAAGCGGUGGAUGAUGUGGAUUAAUUCGAUGCAACGCGAAAAACCUUACCUACCCUUGACAUGCCACUAACGAAGCAGAGAUGCAUUAGGUGCCCGAAAGGGAAAGUGGACACAGGUGCUGCUUGGCUGUCGUCAGCUCGUGUCGUGAGAUGUUGGGUUAAGUCCCGCAACGAGCGCAACCCUUGUCUUUAGUUGCUACGCAAGAGCACUCUAGAGAGACUGCCGGUGACAAACCGGAGGAAGGUGGGGAUGACGUCAAGUCCUCAUGGCCCUUAUGGGUAGGGCUUCACACGUCAUACAAUGGUGCGUACAGAGGGUUGCCAACCCGCGAGGGGGAGCCAAUCCCAGAAAACGCAUCGUAGUCCGGAUCGUAGUCUGCAACUCGACUACGUGAAGCUGGAAUCGCUAGUAAUCGCGGAUCAGCAUGCCGCGGUGAAUACGUUCCCGGGUCUUGUACACACCGCCCGUCACACCAUGGGAGUGGGUUUUGCCAGAAGUGGGUAGCCUAACCGCAAGGAGGGCGCUUACCACGGCAGGGUUCAUGACUGGGGUGAAGUCGUAACAAGGUAGCCGC
rnacentral:rRNA from 1 species